rnacentral:rRNA from 1 species
CGGACGGGUGAGUAACGCGUAGGUAUCUAUCUCUGGGUGGGGGACAACCGUGGGAAACUACGGCUAAUACCGCAUGAAGCCCGAGGGCCAAAGCAGCGAUGCGCCUGGAGAGGAGCCUGCGUACGAUUAGCUUGUUGGCGGGGUAAUGGCCCACCAAGGCGACGAUCGUUAGCUGGUCUGAGAGGAUGAUCAGCCACACUGGGACUGAGACACGGCCCAG